AUCGUCAGCCUGAAAGUGUCAUUGGUGUUAAAGAUGUGGACUGUAGAUCCAUAGGUCGCUGGUUCGACUCCGGCUCGACGAAC